UGCAACUCUGUUAGCCUAAUAUAUUUUGCAUUUUUCUCCCUUUACUUCUCUCAAGUUUCCAUCCUAAUACGAGGUAGUCCUCUUGUCAAUCAUGGAUUUGUCGAAAAUUGUUUUAGCUUCAUCUGAAAAUAAGGAAGAAAUCAGAGAUCGCAUCAGCAAAUUGUCAGAUGAGAUUCUUGAAAUAGUGCAAAAACAUUUGAAAACAAAAGAUGCCGUUGCAACAAGUUUAUUAUCUCACAGAUGGAAACCAGUAUGCCUCUCUGCUUCCAUUCUCACUUUGGAUAUAUCUAACAUGUUCGAGUUCUGUAAAACUAUUCAACUCCCUUGUAAUAGCUACAAGUAGAGAUUUGUUAGAGCAGUUAAUCAGUUCUUACAAUCUUAUAUGGGCAUCCAAGUACGCAUGUUCGCUGUUCGUUGCUGUCUUAGGUGUAAUUACACGGAUGAUAUUGAUCAGUGGAUGGAAUUUGCCUUUGUGAAGGGCGUUAAUUGUUUAGCUCGUCUUCAAUUGUAACAAAAGCUGUUGUAACCAAAUUCCUAUAAUCAGCUAUCGUGAUCAACAAAUUGAAGGCAAGUAUGUCUUGCGAACUAAGAUUUUCCAAGGUAAAACAAUCAAUUUAGAGCAGCUGAAGUUGAAUGGUUGCAUUUUGGGACCAAAUUUCACUCACCAUUUCAGCUGCUUAAAGGAAUUGUCCUUGUCCUAUUCGCCUUUAUCUUCAUAUGACCUGCAUAUUUUGUUUUCCUGUCUGGUGAAACUCCAAGUUUUGAAAUUUACAUAUUGUGUCUUGGCUCAUUACCUCUACUGAGGCAUUUCACAGUUCUUCUCUCUACUGGACUAGAGGAAAUUAAGCUAUCAAACGUGAAGCUCCAAUGCUUUGAAUGUCUUCGUCUUGACCUGAUGGUUGUUAAAUGUAUUUAAGUGGAGCUCCUUGAACUGGUUCCUUGAAUGUCUUCGUCUUGAUCUUUUGCCUUUUAAUUUUGGCUUCUUGACAGCAAUUGAAUGGGUUUUGGUCUGCAGGUCGAGUGGACACUUUUGCAUAGCCACUUUCAGCCAGGUUAGGAAGCUGACACUAGAUUUUGCAGGGCUCGUAAAUUUUCUCGAAGAUUAUUUCUAUCCUUAAGAGCAUUUCCCAGUCUUCGUGUUUUUCAUCUAUGGAUAUGUUGUUUUAUUUCUCUUUUUCUCUCAAUCAACUUUGCAGAGAUUAUCAGUAGUUACUUAUAUAAUUCAUAUAUUGUAAUACAUGAUAACUUAGCCUGCGAUUUGUGAUUGCAGACAUCAUGUGAAUAUGACAUUAAAAGUCGAAUAUUGUUCUUUUUUAUCUUUUAACAAUAUUAAAAUAAAUAAUUUAUAUUU